rnacentral:rRNA from 1 species
GAAACGACUGCUAAGACUGGAUAGGAGACAAGAAGGCAUCUUCUUGUUUUUAAAAGACCUAGCAAUAGGUAUGCUUAGGGAGGAGCUUGCGUCACAUUAGUUAGUUGGUGGGGUAAAGGCCUACCAAGACUAUGAUGUGUAGCCGGGCUGAGAGGUUGAACGGCCACAUUGGGACUGAGACACGGCCCAAACUCCUACGGGAGGCAGCAGUAGGGAAUUUUCGGCAAUGGAGGAAACUCUGACCGAGCAACGCUGUGUGAACGAUGAAGUAUUUCGGUACGUAAAGUUCUUUUAUUAGGGAAGAAUAAAUGAUGGAAAAAUCAUUCUGACGGUACCUAAUGAAUAAGCCCCGGCUAACUAUGUGCCAGCAGCCGCGGUAAUACAUAGGGGGCAAGCGUUAUCCGGAAUUAUUGGGCGUAAAGGGUGCGUAGGCGGUUAAAUAAGUUUAUGGUCUAAGUGCAAUGCUCAACAUUGUGAUGCUAUAAAAACUGUUUAGCUAGAGUAAGAUAGAGGCAAGUGGAAUUCCAUGUGUAGUGGUAAAAUGCGUAAAUAUAUGGAGGAACACCAGUAGCGAAGGCGGCUUGCUGGGUCUUUACUGACGCUGAGGCACGAAAGCGUGGGGAGCAAACAGGAUUAGAUACCCUGGUAGUCCACGCCGUAAACGAUGAGUACUAAACGUUGGGUAAAACCAGUGUUGAAGUUAACACAUUAAGUACUCCGCCUGAGUAGUACGUACGCAAGUAUGAAACUUAAAGGAAUUGACGGGACUCCGCACAAGCGGUGGAUCAUGUUGUUUAAUUCGAAGGUACCCGAAAAACCUCACCAGGUCUUGACAUGCUUCUGCAAAGCUGUAGAAACACAGUGGAGGUUAUCAGUUGCACAGGUGGUGCAUGGUUGUCGUCAGCUCGUGUCGUGAGAUGUUGGGUUAAGUCCCGCAACGAGCGCAACCCUUAUUGUUAGUUACCAGCACGUAAUGGUGGGGACUUUAGCAAGACUGCCAGUGAUAAAUUGGAGGAAGGUGGGGACGACGUCAAAUCAUCAUGCCCCUUAUGACCUGGGCUACAAACGUGAUACAAUGGCUGUUACAAAGGGUAGCUGAAGCGCAAGUUUUUGGCGAAUCUCAAAAAAACAGUCUCAGUUCGGAUUGAAGUCUGCAACUCGACUUCAUGAAGUUGGAAUCGCUAGUAAUCGCGAAUCAGCAUGUCGCGGUGAAUACGUUCACGGGGUUUGUACACACCGCCCGUCA